UAUUUGCCUUAGUUUUAACUCCCCAUCCAUUCAAUUUCCUCUCUGCCCUAAAUCUUCAGUUAGAUUUCGCGCAAAUCGGUACAAGAUCCAACGGGUAGGUACCAGCAUCCGAUCGGUAAUUUCUUCUCAUCUAUUCUCACGAGAUCAAUAUUUUGUGGUAGAUGGGGCACGGAGGCGGAGCAGGUCUCGACUCAAUCUGCCGGACGAGAUAUUUUCGGUAAUACCUAUACUCCUAUGAUGGGCUGGAUAUGGCGCGGAAGAUCACUUCCACAUAGCUUAUUAGGAUGUUGAGUUGCGGUUGAAAAUCCUGCUCAAAGAUAAUAUAAUUUUUGAAUUUCAAGUAUUUUUUUUUUUAUUUUUUGUAAAUUUGAUUAUUGUAUUUGUAUGGUUAGAUUUUGGGGAAAUCUAAAUCGCAAAGGAAGUGGGUGAAGAAGAGGGAAUUCUUGGCUUUGACUGCAAACAAACUCAUUCGUGAUUUCGCAAAGUCGCGCUUCAUCGUUCUUGUUGAUUGCAAUGUUGCGUUUGGUGAAGAAUCGCCGUGCAAAGUGGUUACAAAGAGAUCGAGAAGGGCAACCACAAUCAUCGUCAUCAUUAUCCAAGACUAAGGAUUUAGAUGUUCCACUUCAAUCAGUUGGUUUUGAGACUGAAUAGCUUAUGCCCAGCAAGCUAUCCAGCCAUAUCAUCGUCACUUCGAAAGUGUAUUAUGUAAAUAUACAACAACAAGAUCCAAAGAUGCUUUGAAACUUGUUUAUAAAUUAAUUGCACCGUGGUACAUGAACGGAAAGUACGGGUAUAAGUAUGUGUAUUUGGAGUAUAUAAUAUGUGUAUAUGGAUAUGUGAAAAAUGAAACAAGACAUAAAGAUAAUGUAUAUAGUUACGUGAAUAAAGUACUCAAGUAUUAACACU